rnacentral:sRNA from 1 species
UGCUAUUUGUUAGGAUAUCGGUGGGUACAAAUGCUAUAGCUAUAUUUUGUUAUUUGUCAGGAUACCUCUGGGUACUAAUGCUACAGUUAUGCUUCACGAAGGCGACGUGUUGUACUAUAUGAACCAGUAUGCCGAGGCGUCCUUCAGGUUUCAGCAUGCCCUUCGUUUAAACUCUCGUCUGCUCGAGGCUUAUCUCCCUUUACAAAACUGUUACCACAAACUAAAUAACCUGGCAGCUGCUCAUCAGGUUCUUUCACAGUGCCACUCCAUGUUUAGCGCAAGAGAGUGCACGACACCAAGAAAGAUAACCCAACUCUAACAGACGGACAUUCCUACCUUUAAGUUACCGUUCCUGCACAGGGGACAGAACUCACUAAAUUUUGAACUUUCAAAUAACUUUUUGAUAAAAACUAUUUUUGUUUACGCAUGUUAAUAUCUAUAUAUUUCAUGGACAAACAAAUAAAAAUGUAAAUGCUAAAUUGUUGUACUGAAGUGAAAGUGCUUGGAUGAUUCAUUAACUCUCACUCGUUGUUUGGACAACCCGCUGGGCAAUGAAAAGUUUGCUGUCAAGUUUCAAAGGAGAAUCUAAUAAAUAUUUAGUUCAAGGGCUGUAAGUUGCACGCCUGCAAACGUGGUAUUGUUUGAAGAAAUUGAUUGGAUGAACAAAUCUAGAAAACAGAUAACUGUUAAAUAUAUCUCUAUAAUGAACUGUGAAUUGUAUGUCUGAUUGUGUGACCUUUAAUCUGAUCAGUAAACUGCCUUAUUCUGAA